rnacentral:rRNA from 1 species
AUUGAACGCUGGCGGCAGGCCUAACACAUGCAAGUCGAGCGGCAGCAUGGACUUCGGUCUGAUGGCGAGCGGCGAACGGGUGAGUAACAUAUAGGAACAUACCUAGUAAUGGGGGAUAACGCCGAGAAAUCGGUGCUAAUACCGCAUACGCCCUGAGGGGGAAAGCGGGGGAUCUUCGGACCUCGCGUUAUUAGAUUGGCCUAUAUCUGAUUAGCUAGUUGGUGAGGUAAAGGCUCACCAAGGCGACGAUCAGUAGCUGGUCUGAGAGGAUGAUCAGCCACACUGGAACUGAGACACGGUCCAGACACCUACGGGUGGCAG